rnacentral:rRNA from 1 species
AGCGAACGCUGGCGGCAGGCCUAACACAUGCAAGUCGAACGAAGUCUUCGGACUUAGUGGCGGACGGGUGAGUAACACGUGGGAACGUGCCUUUAGGUUCGGAAUAACUCAGGGAAACUUGUGCUAAUACCGAAUGUGCCCUUCGGGGGAAAGAUUUAUCGCCUUUAGAGCGGCCCGCGUAUGAUUAGCUAGUUGGUGAGGGAAAGGCUCACCAAGGCUACGAUCAGUAGCUGGUCUGAGAGGAUGACCGGCCACAUUGGGACUGAGACACGGCCCAAAUUCCUACGGGAGGCAGCAGUGGGGAGUCUUGCGCAAUGGGCGAAAGCCUGACGCAGCCAUGCCGCGUGGAUGAUGAAGGUCUUAGGAUUGUAAAAUCCUUUCACCGGUGAAGAUAAUGACUGUAGCCGGAGAAGAAGCCCCGGCUAACUUCGUGCCAGCAGCCGCCGUAACAC